CCCUUAGAUGUUCUGGGCUGCACGCGCGCUACACUGAUGCACUCAACGAGUUUACGACCUUGCCCGAUAGGGUUGGGUAGUCUUUUUAAAAUGCAUCGUGAUGGGGAUAGAUUAUUGCAAUUAUUAAUCUUCAACGAGGAGUUCCUAGUAAGCGCGAGUCAUCAGCUCGUGCUGAUUACGUCCCUGCCCUUUGUACACACCGCCCGUCGCUCCUACCGAUUGAGUGCUCAGGUGAAUAAUUCGGACUGCAGCAAUGUUUGGAUCCCGAACGUUGCAGCGGAAAGUUUAGUGAACCUUAUCACUUAGAGGAAGGAGAAGUCGUAACA
rnacentral:rRNA from 1 species